UACAGAGGGUGCGAGCGUUAAUCGGAUUUACUGGGCGUAAAGCGUGCGUAGGCGGCUUUUUAAGUCGGAUGUGAAAUCCCCGAGCUUAACUUGGGAAUUGCAUUCGAUACUGGGAAGCUAGAGUAUGGGAGAGGAUGGUAGAAUUCCAGGUGUAGAGGUGAAAUUCGUAGAUAUUCGGAGGAAUACCGAUGGCGAAGGCAGCCAUCUGGCCUAAUACUGACGCUGAGGUACGAAAGCAUGGGGAGAGAACGGG
rnacentral:misc_RNA from 1 species